rnacentral:rRNA from 1 species
GUGGGGAAUUUUGGACAAUGGGCGCAAGCCUGAUCCAGCAAUGCCGCGUGUGUGAAGAAGGCCUUCGGGUUGUAAAGCACUUUUGGCAGGAAAGAAAUAGCGCGUGCUAAUACCAUGCGCGAAUGACGGUACCUGCAGAAUAAGCACCGGCUAACUACGUGCCAGCAGCCGCGGUAAGACGUAGGGUGCAAGCGUUAAUCGGAAUUACUGGGCGUAAAGCGUGCGCAGGCGGUUUUGUAAGACAGGUGUGAAAUCCCCGGGCUCAACCUGGGAACUGCACUUGUGACUGCAAGGCUAGAGUGUGUCAGAGGGAGGUGGAAUUCCGCGUGUAGCAGUGAAAUGCGUAGAGAUGCGGAGGAACACCGAUGGCGAAGGCAGCCUCCUGGGAUAACACUGACGCUCAGGCACGAAAGCGUGGGGAGCAAACAGGAUUAGAAACCCUGGUAGUCC